AGAGUUUGAUCCUGGCUCAGGACAAACGCUGGCGGCGUGCCUAACACAUGCAAGUCGAACGGGGUGUGUUCCUUCGGGAGCACACUUAGUGGCGGACGGGUGAGUAACGCGUGAGCAACCUGCCCUUCAGUGGGGGACAACAGCUGGAAACGGCUGCUAAUACCGCAUGACGUAUUCCCGGGGCAUCCCGGGGAUACCAAAGAUUUAUUGCUGAAGGAUGGGCUCGCGUCUGAUUAGAUAGUUGGCGGGGCAACGGCCCACCAAGUCGACGAUCAGUAGCCGGACUGAGAGGUUGAACGGCCACAUUGGGACUGAGAUACGGCCCAGACUCCUACGGGAGGCAGCAGUGGGGAAUAUUGGGCAAUGGGCGAAAGCCUGACCCAGCAACGCCGCGUGAAGGAAGAAGGCCUUCGGGUUGUAAACUUCUUUUAAGAGGGACGAAGGGUUGACGGUACCUCUUGAAUAAGCCACGGCUAACUACGUGCC
rnacentral:rRNA from 1 species